UACGUAGGGGGCAAGCGUUGUCCGGAAUCAUUGGGCGUAAAGCGCGUGUAGGCGGUCCGGUAAGUCGGUUGUGAAAGUCCAGGGCUCAACCCUGGGAUGCCGAUCGAUACUGCCGGACUAGAGUUCGGAAGAGGCGAGUGGAAUUCCCGGUGUAGCGGUGAAAUGCGCAGAUAUCGGGAGGAACACCAAUGGCGAAGGCAGCUCGCUGGGACGUUACUGACGCUGAGACGCGAAAGCGUGGGGAGCAAACAGG
rnacentral:rRNA from 1 species